rnacentral:rRNA from 1 species
GACGAACGCUGGCGGCGUGCUUAACACAUGCAAGUCGAACGGAAAGGCCCUGCUUUUGUGGGGUGCUCGAGUGGCGAACGGGUGAGUAACACGUGAGUCACCUGCCCUUUACUUUGGGAUAACUUCAGGAAACUGGGGCUAAUACCGAAUACGAGCUCCUGCUGCAUGGUGGGGGUUGGAAAGUUUCGGCGGUUGGGGAUGGACUGGCGGGUUAUCAGCUUGUUGGUGGGGUAGUGGCUUACCAAGGCUUUGACGGGUAGCCGGCCUGAGAGGGUGACCGGCCACAUUGGGACUGAGAUACGGCCCAGACUCCUACGGGAGGCAGCAGUGGGGAAUAUUGCACAAUGGGCGGAAGCCUGAUGCAGAAACGCCGCGUGCGGGAUGACGGCCUUCGGGUUGUAAACCGCUUUCGCCUGUGACGAAGCGUGAGUGACGGUAAUGGGUGAAGAAGCACCGGCUAACUACGUG